rnacentral:rRNA from 1 species
AUUGAACGCUGGCGGCAUGCCUUACACAUGCAAGUCGAACGGCAGCACGGGUGCUUGCACCUGGUGGCGAGUGGCGAACGGGUGAGUAAUACAUCGGAACAUGUCCUGUAGUGGGGGAUAGCCCGGCGAAAGCCGGAUUAAUACCGCAUACGAUCUACGGAUGAAAGCGGGGGACCUUCGGGCCUCGCGCUAUAGGGUUGGCCGAUGGCUGAUUAGCUAGUUGGUGGGGUAAAGGCCUACCAAGGCGACGAUCAGUAGCUGGUCUGAGAGGACGACCAGCCACACUGGGACUGAGACACGGCCCAGACUCCUACGGGAGGCAGCAGUGGGGAAUUUUGGACAAGGGGCGAAAGCCUGAUCCAGCAAUGCCGCGUGUGUGAAGAAGGCCUUCGGGUUGUAAAGCACUUUUGUCCGGAAAGAAAUCCUUGGCCCUAAUACGGUCGGGGGAGGACGGUACCGGAAGAAUAAGCACCGGCUAACUACGG